AAAUUGAUUAGAAAUACUUGUCAUAUAAGUUUCUGCUGUUCAUACAUCAUCAAAAAAUAUCAAGAAAAACUGGAAAUAUAUGAAAAUGGAACCCAAGUAUAAAAUUAGGUUUUUUGCAUUGAAUAAAAGAAGAAGGAACUCUGAUCUUCAUGUUCUUCUAUAGAAGUCCUAAUACAAAACCAUUAAACUA